ACGUGGCUUAAUCGUGACCGUACAAAAUAGGAGGGCAUGGAAAGGCACCACAACUAGGAGGGCAGACAAUCCAAGUCUCAAGAUUUAUGGCACAAAAACAGAUCAAAAAUGAUAAAUUAAUGGGUUGUUGGACAAAAAAAUAAGAUUAAAAAAUGUCAGGAGUUAAGCCCAAGCAGAUGAUUUAUAGCACAAAAAAGAAUAAAAAAUUAUAAAAAAAUUGGUUAGAGAGUAAAAAAAUGAUUAAAAAAUGUGAAAAGCUGGUUUGGUGUGUUUGAUUAUUGUUUUUAAAUAUUUUCUCCUUUUAGCAUACCCAUGUAUAGCUGUUGGGAAAACAAAAUUUUUUUUUUUUAAAAUGUGAUUAAAACAGGGCCACGUGGGUUGUGGCACAACUAACAAUAAAAAUUUAUACCUUCUUAAUUUUUUAAAUCCAUGUAUAGCUGGUGGAUGGACUGAAAAAAUAUUAAAAAAUAUGAUGCACAGUAAAUUUAACGGGGCCUCUCUUAUACCACGUGUUGGUCACUGUGAGGUUUGUUAUAUAUAUAUAUAUAUUAUACCUAUACUAAAACCCCAACGACGUGGUACUGUUCACGGACAGUGCACGGACUAAAAUGCCCCUCGAUUUGUUUGUUAAGCCAAAUUUUUGCCAUCUUUUCCACAGUGAAAAGACUGCCUUGCCCUCAAAGGCCACGGGUUGAUACUUUCCUGUUUCCUUUUUUUUUUUCUAUAUUGUUGUAGCUAUCUACUAAAGCAGUUCCCGUCCACUGUUCAUCAUGUGAGAGGGCUACUGUUCAUCAUGUGUAUCUUCUUUUAAAUUCUGACUCCCUCUUCGAUUCCAGCGUUUUUCCCUUACCUAAUCCACACCUGGCAGCAAAUGGUACCUGCCUUUCCAUAAAAAAAUAAUUAAAAAACCAUACCUGAUCCACAUCCGGCAGCAAUGAUGCAUUUCCACCAAAAAAUAAUUAAAAAACCAAAAAUCUGGAACAUGCAGAAAAAAAUGGAUAGAAAAGGGGAAAAAGAAAUAGAGAGAGAGAAAGAAAAGCUGAGCAUGGAUUGUGAGAGAGGGUGUCUAUCACUAGAAAAAAAAAAAUUAAAAAACACAACAUCAUGGCAUCUGGAACAGUUCCCCACCACUGUUCAUCACGUCUUUCCUUUCUUCCGCACAUCGUUCCUCGCAAUUCCUCUAAUUUUUGCCCACGCGUUCAUCGCUCUGCACACCUCCUCUUCAAUCAUCAUGUCCACGCGUCGAUCAUCGUCGAAGGGCUCUGCUUCGACUCCUUCUCGACUUUUCCUCUAACUCUCCUUCACUUUGCGGUCUUCUCUCAUCUCUCACUCUUUCUCAUGCUUUCUUUCUCUACCCAAGAAGCCUUCCAUGCAUUUCGAUCUCUCCCACAAACCCUUAUGUUGCUAAAGCUUGCCUUCCCUCGCUCUCCGAUCUCGAUUUCUCUCUCACUUUCGUGCUGAAAAAGACCAACCCAGUAGAAAUUUCUGCAGUUCUCUCUCUCAAAAACUAUAAAUCACAGCGGCCAAACUCCAGAAAAAUAAAAAUAAAUAAAUAAAUGGAAUUUGAAAAGCCAUUUGCUUUUCCUUGGAUUUGGGUUUUCCUUCGAUUUCUACACUGUCCAAAACUAGCGGCGUGGAUCAAGCUAGGGUUUUCUCUGAGCCGCGAUUGUUGCUCUGUCCUCCGCGCGUCCGUCACUGUUUGUUGCUGAAAAAUUGCGGCUACAAGAUUUUUCAGAUUUUCCAAUUUCGUUGCCAAAAAAAAAAAAAAAACUCCGACGACCAGCGUUUUGUGCCCAUGGUAUAAUCAGUUUCUACUCAAAGUCUAGAAAUCAAAGGACCCCAAAUUUGCCAGAAAACGAGUAGAGAGCAAGGAGAAUUGACCCCAGUUAGCUCCAACCUUGCGGUAAACGAGGGCUACUCUACUGUUUAUGCAGCAGGGGAAGGGAAGGGAAGUAAAAAUUAUAAGCAAAUGCGUAUAAGUUACAAGCUUUUAAUUAAAAAUAGAAAUGGAGUGACAACAAACAAAAUAUAGGGAUUAAGUUCAUUUAAGUAUGGGUCGUUUUGUAUUUGAAAUCUGAAAGGAGAAACAGAAAUUACAAGAAGAAGAGGAAGAUUGCGUUCCGAUCAUGGCCUUCUCUUCCUGCCUCUUAUCCAAAUCCUGACAAGGAUCUUAUUGAAAAGCAAGGAAGAAGAAUUGAAUUAGAUUAUUGCGGGGCUCAGGAAAAACUAUGCUUCUUUACAAGAGAAAUUUACGAAAUAAGAGUUGGAUAAGAUGGCUGCAAUGGAAUCUCUCAUUAUGGAAAGAGAGGCUAGACUUGAAAUUGAGCGACAACAAAAUUCCCUCUCAUAUGAGCACAGGAGAGUUCAAAGAGAGCUUUCAAGUGCUACUCAGAAGAAAAAGUUAAGGAUACGAUCAAACGUUUACUGUUUGCAGCAAAAGUUGUUGGUCAAAUUUCCAGUUUUUCAUUGCGGCUUUGCAAGCUCUUUAUCAUCAAGGAACAACUUCCGGUGUUAAAAUGGCUUACGUCCCACCCCACAAGCGGCAUUUAAAGGAAACCGAGAGGCCGUUGCUGACGCCGGAGCUGUUUGCUCCCCAGUUCAAGAAAAACUUAAAUGUCAAGCCAUCAGAGUUUGAUGUUGAAACAAGUUCAAAGUCAUUUCUUUAUGCAAACCAUGCUCUAUCGAGAUUUUACACCGUUGGUUUGGAUGACCAGAACCAGUUUCCGUCUACAGUUAAGCUUGAGCCCAUUUCCUUGGACUCUACCUACUGGAAUAAUGAAGAAAACCUCUAGCUUUGGUAAACUCUUGCCUAGAUAAUGAAUGGAAAUUGCCAAAGAGUCCUUGGGUAUCUAUAGCAGAAAUUGCCCUUGAUGACCUAUUUUCUGCAUAUAAAAAUGCAAGGAAUCAAAUGGAGUGUGGAGAGCAUGAAGAAUUUCAACUGAAUUUGGUUGCUAAAGUGGGAAAAUUUCUGUUUCAUAGGACCCCUUCGAUGAACCUGGAAUCUAUAAGGGAAGGUUUGGAUACUGAAACCUUGAUAAAAUUGAAGAAGUCUUUUUAUGCAAACGUUCCGUUGUCGUAUAAGGAAAACAUUGUAAAGGAAGUUGUCCCUAAGAUUUGUGUUGAGCUCAAAGGGAAGAACGAGUUAUACUAUGUAAAGUUGUCUGACUCUAGACGACCAAAAUCAAUCAUCACUUGCAAAUGCAGUGUAGCAAAAGAACAUGGAAAACUACAACUAUGCAAGGCAAG